GGCCAGUUAGCUCAAUUGGUUAGAGCAUGGUGCUGAUAACACCGAGGUCCCAGGUUCAAUCCCUGUACCAGCCA